rnacentral:rRNA from 1 species
UAGAGUUUGAUCCUGGCUCAGAUUGAACGCUGGCGGCAGGCUUAACACAUGCAAGUCGAGCGGGGAAGGGUAGCUUGCUACCUGACCUAGCGGCGGACGGGUGAGUAAUGCUUAGGAAUCUGCCUAUUAGAGGGGGACAACAUUCCGAAAGGAAUGCUAAUACCGCAUACGCCCUACGGGGGAAAGCAGGGGAUCUUCGGACCUUGCGCUAAUAGAUGAGCCUAAGUCAGAUUAGCUAGUUGGUGGGGUAAAGGCCUACCAAGGCGACGAUCUGUAGCGGGUCUGAGAGGAUGAUCCGCCACACUGGGACUGAGACACGGCCCAGACUCCUACGGGAGGCAGCAGUGGGGAAUAUUGGACAAUGGGCGAAAGCCUGAUCCAGCCAUGCCGCGUGUGUGAAGAAGGCCUUUUGGUUGUAAAGCACUUUAAGCGAGGAGGAGGCUACUUAGAUUAAUACUCUAGGAUAGUGGACGUUACUCGCAGAAUAAGCACCGGCUAACUCUGUGCCAGCAGCCGCGGUAAUACAGAGGGUGCGAGCGUUAAUCGGAUUUACUGGGCGUAAAGCGUGCGUAGGCGGCUUCUUAAGUCGGAUGUGAAAUCCCUGAGCUUAACUUAGGAAUUGCAUUCGAUACUGGGAAGCUAGAGUAUGGGAGAGGAUGGUAGAAUUCCAGGUGUAGCGGUGAAAUGCGUAGAGACCUGGAGGAAUACCGAUGGCGAAGGCAGCCAUCUGGCCUAAUACUGACGCUGAGGUACGAAAGCAUGGGGAGCAAACAGGAUUAGAUACCCUGGUAGUCCAUGCCGUAAACGAUGUCUACUAGCCGUUGGGGCCUUUGAGGCUUUAGUGGCGCAGCUAACGCGAUAAGUAGACCGCCUGGGGAGUACGGUCGCAAGACUAAAACUCAAAUGAAUUGACGGGGGCCCGCACAAGCGGUGGAGCAUGUGGUUUAAUUCGAUGCAACGCGAAGAACCUUACCUGGUCUUGACAUAGUA